rfam:Brachypodium distachyon strain Bd21 chromosome 1, whole genome shotgun sequence.
CAAAUAUUUACUCCGUCCAACGAAAGAUGUCUCAACUUUGACUAAAUUGAAAUGCAUCGAUACACUAAGUCAUGUCUAGAUACAUCUAAAUUUUGACAAAUCUGAGACAUCUUUUGUUGGACGGAGGGAGUAUGAU